rnacentral:rRNA from 1 species
AUUGAACGCUGGCGGCAUGCCUUACACAUGCAAGUCGAACGGUAACAGGUCUUCGGAUGCUGACGAGUGGCGAACGGGUGAGUAAUACAUCGGAACGUGCCUAGUAGUGGGGGAUAACUACUCGAAAGAGUGGCUAAUACCGCAUGAGAUCUACGGAUGAAAGCAGGGGAUCGCAAGACCUUGUGCUACUAGAGCGGCCGAUGGCAGAUUAGGUAGUUGGCGGGAUAAAAGCUUACCAAGCCGACGAUCUGUAGCUGGUCUGAGAGGACGAUCAGCCACACUGGGACUGAGACACGGCCCAGACUCCUACGGGAGGCAGCAGUGGGGAAUUUUGGACAAUGGGCGAAAGCCUGAUCCAGCAAGCCGCGUGCAGGAUGAAGGCCUUCGGGUUGUAAACUGCUUUUGUACGGAACGAAAAGCCCCGGGUUAAUACCCUGGGGUCAUGACGGUACCGUAAGAAUAAGCACCGGCUAACUACGUGCCAGCCGCCGCGGUAA